GAACUGCGAUAAGUAAUGUGAAUUGCAGAAUUCAGUGAAUCAUCGAGUCUUUGAACGCACAUUGCGCCCCCUGGCAUUCCGGGGGGCAUGCCUGUCCGAGCGUCAUUGCUGCCCUUCAAGCCCGGCUUGUGUGUUGGGUCGUCGUCCCCUCCGGGGGACGGGCCCGAAAGGCAGCGGCGGCACCACGUCCGGUCCUCGAGCGUAUGGGGCUUUGUCACCCGCUCGAUAAGGACCGGCCGGGCGCCAGCCGGCGUCUCCAACCUUUUUUUCUCAGGUUGACCUCGGAUCAGGUAGGGAUACCCGCUGAACUUAAGC
rnacentral:misc_RNA from 1 species